CCUACGGGUGGCAGCAGUGGGGGAUAUUGCACAAUGGGGGAAACCCUGAUGCAGCGACGCCGCGUGAGUGACGAAGUAUCUAGGUAUGUUAAGCCCUAUCAGCCGGGGAGAAAAUGACAGUACCUGACCAAGAAGCCCAGGCUCACUACGUGACAGCAGCCGCGGUCAUACGGCGGGGGCAGGCGUUAUCCGGAUUUUCUGGGUGUAUAGGGAGCGUAGUCGGGUCUGUAAGUCUGGAGUGAAAGCCCUGGGCCCAACCCCCGGACUGCUUUGGAAACUGGGUAACGGGAGUACGGGAGGGGCAGGCGGAAGUCGUGGUGUAGCGGUGAAAUGCAUAGAUAUCAGGAAGAACACCGACGGCGAAGGCGGCAUGCCGGACCGAAACUGACGCUGAGGCACGAAAGCGUGGGGAGCGAACAGGAUUAGAUACCCCUGUAGUC
rnacentral:rRNA from 1 species